rnacentral:rRNA from 1 species
UAGUCCACGCUGUAAACGAUGUCUACUUGGAGGCUGUUGUCAUGAACAGUGGCUUUCGAAGCUAACGCGAUAAGUAGACCGCCUGGGGAGUACGGUCGCAAGAUUAAAACUCAAAUGAAUUGACGGGGGGCCCGCACAAGCGGUGGAGCAUGUGGUUUAAUUCGAUGCAACGCGAAGAACCUUACCUACUCUUGACAUCUACAGAAGCUUGCGGAGACGCGAGUGUGCCUUCGGGAACUGUAAGACAGGUGCUGCAUGGCUGUCGUCAGCUCGUGUUGUGAAAUGUUGGGUUAAGUCCCGCAACGAGCGCAACCCUUAUCCUUAAUUGCCAGCACUUCGGGUGGGAACUUUAGGGAGACUGCCGGUGAUAAACCGGAGGAAGGUGGGGACGACGUCAAGUCAUCAUGGCCCUUACGAGUAGGGCUACACACGUGCUACAAUGGUGCAUACAGAGGGAUGCGAGACUGCGAAGUUAAGCGAAUCUCAAAAAGUGCAUCGUAGUCC